rnacentral:tRNA from 1 species
UCCUUAGUAGCUUAACUGGUAAAGAAUUUGCCUGCAAAGCAGGAGAUUCCAGUUAGAUUCCUGGCUGGGGAA